rnacentral:rRNA from 1 species
GUCGAACGAGGUAUUUUGAUUGAAGUUUUCGGAUGGAUUUCAAGAUACCGACUGUCGGACGGGUGAGUAACGCGUGGGUAACCUGCCUCAUACAGGGGGAUAACGGUUAGAAAUGACUGCUAAUACCGCAUAAGCGCACAGUACCGCAUGGUACGGUGUGAAAAACUCCGGUGGUAUGAGAUGGACCCGCGUCUGAUUAGCUAGUUGGUGAGGUAACGGCCCACCAAGGCGACGAUCAGUAGCCGACCUGAGAGGGUGAUCGGCCACAUUGGGACUGAGACACGGCCCAGACUCCUACGGGAGGCAGCAGUGGGGGAUAUUGCACAAUGGAGGAAACUCUGAUGCAGCGACGCCGCGUGAGUGAGGAAGUAUUUCGGUAUGUAAAGCUCUAUCAGCAGGGAAGAAAAUGACGGUACCUGACUAAGAAGCCCCGGCUAACUACGUGCCAGCAGCCGCGGUAAUACGUAGGGGGCAAGCGUUAUCCGGAUUUACUGGGUGUAGAGGGAGCGUAGACGGCGACGCAAGUCUGAAGUGAAAUACCCGGGCUCAACCUGGGAACUGCUUUGGAAACUGUGUUGCUAGAGUGCUGGAGAGGUAAGCGGAAUUCCUAGUGUAGCGGUGAAAUGCGUAGAUAUUAGGAAGAACACCAGUGGCGAAGGCGGCUUACUGGACAGUAACUGACGUUGAGGCUCGAAAGCGUGGGGAGCAAACAGGA